UGUGUGUGUGUGUGUGUGUGUGUGUGUGUGUGUCUGUCUGUGCAAACAUUGCAUGAAGCGAAGUUUUAUUUAUACACUGUGGAGUGUGCAAGAUGUUUUCCGAAACCAUCAGUGAAAAAGCAGCAAACGUAAGGAGGAAGUGAAACCAGUCAUGUGUCUUGCAAUGGCCCUUUUAUAGCCAUAAGUCAGUCACCUCUUCCUGUGGUUUUGUUACAAUAUCCGUGACGGCUUUUAAAAACAUUUAAAGAGUAAUUGUCUUGGAGGGGAAGAUUUACUGCAUUAUCCCAGCCGACAGGAAAGAGGCCAUGCCCUAAGAUGAGCCGGAGCAGUGUGGAGCUGGAUGGGGUGAGCCAACAGGGAGCAGUGGACAGUCUGACACAGUCUCUGCGAGGGCUGGCCAACAGCCUGACCACUGCCUCCACUGACAGCCUGACGCCUGACGCACGUGAGUGGACACUGCAAACCACAUCACUCUGUCUGAUGGGUAUAAGGAUCAUUAGCCAUGGAGCCCUGCCCCUGUGCCAACCGGAAGUUAGAGGCUAUCUGUAGACAUGUUCUCUAAACAACUGUAACCAUUUAAAUGGAAGGAAAUUGUUCUGUAGCUGUUUUUUUUUCCCAAACAAGGUCAGUCUUUAUCAAGAGACCAGUUGGGUAUUACCCUUCAAACCAAAGGGAGCAGAGGUGGGCUGGCUUUGUGGAGCGGGGUGUUUGAUCUCAAAAGCAGGAAACUAGUCACACAAUUAUGAUGUUCU
ensembl:lncRNA